rnacentral:misc_RNA from 1 species
AUUCACUUGCAUAAAGAAGUUCUUGGAUCUGUGAAACAACAGCCAUUAGGAAUGAGAAGAAAAUUAAAAAUCGUGCAGCAGGCUAAGGGCUACAUUAAGCGCCAUGAAGGACAGUUGCAAGAACGAUUGGCACAGUCUAAAAGUACAAGGGAUAUUUAUGCAAGGUUUAAUAUCUUAUUGGCUACAAAAUGGCAGCAAUUGAAACGUGAAGCGGCAAAUACUUCAAAUCUUUUUAUACCCUGGG